rnacentral:rRNA from 1 species
UACGUAGGGUGCAAGCGUUGUCCGGAAUUAUUGGGCGUAAAGAGCUCGUAGGCGGUUCGUCGCGUCGGCUGUGAAAACCUGAGGCUCAACCUCAGGCCUGCAGUCGAUACGGGCGGACUUGAGUACUGCAGGGGAGACUGGAAUUCCUGGUGUAGCGGUGAAAUGCGCAGAUAUCUGGAGGAACACCGGUGGCGAAGGCGGCAUCCUGGACCAACACUGACGCUGAUGAGCGAAAGCCAGGGGAGCAAACGGG